ensembl:lncRNA
AUUGUUUACCGGAGACAUUUUAAUACACAUAGGCACAUUUAUAUUAUAUAUGCUGCAGCUCAACAGAAGCGCUUGUUUCCCAUUCGAGGGCUGCCAGAUCAGCUGCCUGUUCACAACAGUACAGAUAAGUGAAGUUAAGAAUUUUAAUAUCAGUGUUUAAUAUCAGUCAGACACCCUGAAUUUGUAAUAAACAGGAAUCACAGACAGAUAGCCGUAAACAGGAUUUUGUGUGGACAAUACAAGGACAACUGGGUACUGAAACAAGCUUGCAAUGCUUUUCGUGCCUUUUCGUUCAGCUUUUGAAGAGCUAAAGCCUCAGCAUUACUGCAUCAGCCACAAGCAGCAACACUGGUCCCUCCUAGCUACAGUAAUACUUUUUCUUCCUACAUAUUCCUCCAUCCAGUCUACAAAAGCUAUGAUAAUAGAACGUCUAGUGGUUUCUGAUUAAAACUUUCCUAUCAGAAGAAGCCUAGCCACUGAUUAAUUAGGUUACCGUAAUUAAUUUAGCAAUGCUCUGUGCUGGUUGUUGUUCAUUCCUGCCCUAGCAAUGACCUCAGGCAAAACCAGUGCCACCAUGGCAGUGGGUUAGCCAUUAGCAGAGGACUUCCUGGAAUUAGGGUUGUGGCAUAAGUUGCCGGCUUGACUGCCCUACCCAUGUACUAGAGGUCACUGAGGGUGCACUGGAGGUGGGCUCUGUCACAGCUGGGAUGCUCCUGGACAUCAAAACCUGCUCAGACUUUUCAGAUGCUCCAUACUGGCAAGGGAAGCUGCUGGGAGAAAAAUAUUUAAGAGUACCAGGCCAAAGGAUUUAAUAGUCAUCUUGUUUUCCAAAAAUCACAGCUCUGAACCUCAGUUGUCACGACUCUGGAAGAGACAUAUUCCACCUAGUGGGAUAUUAACGUUUAGCCCAAGUUAUAGAAUAAAACCAAAGGAUCUGAUGUCAACAACUAGCAAUGACCAUAAAGAUUUAGACAAAGUUUAAAUUUUGGAAAAGGCUUUUGUUCUCAUGUGUAAAAUGCACAGUGGUAGGAGGUGAUUACAAUCAGUUGUUCUGCACUGUCAGAUACCAUGGUUUUGCUUUUCAAACGUGAAAUACACUGUGUGUCAUUCACCUGGCUAGCACUAGAAAUCCAUCUUACUCUCUGAGCCUGUGCUCUCUCAUCUGUGCAUCCAUGGCUCCUAAAAGCCCACAGAGGUGCUUCAGUCACAGAAGCAGCUCACUGGAAAUAAAACUAGGGAUUCAGCCUACAGAGAUUGUAUUGGGUUCCCAUCCCAUCAUAAAUGUAUACAUGUGAAAUGGUACUAUGGCUUAACUCUCAUCACGGUGGAGAUCCUAAUGGUUCCACGGCUCUUUGGUAAGUGUAAGUGCAGAAAAAUUUCCCAAAGCCUCUUCUUGGGAAGGAUGCAAACAAGGUCACAGUGAGAGGAGGAACCUGGUUACUUAGGGAGGUGAGUCCACAGCACAUCAAGGCUUGAAUCAAAACAAAUGAAGGAUAAAAGUAAACGUGCAAGUAGUCCCUGACACUCGUGGGGUUACCAGACUGCAGCAGCAUCUGGUCACUUUCUUAUCCUUGCUCUUUCCAGCACAUUCCCCUCUCUGAAAUCGAGUCAGGGCAAUUGCUUCAAGUUUGUAGUGUUUGGAGAAAAACAGAAUAGCAUAGACAAAUGAUGUGGGAACUGUAGGGAAAAGGAAUCAAACAACAAAAGAACUGGUUUUUAAUUAUUAAGCACAAGCGAGAAGGGAGAC